rnacentral:rRNA from 1 species
GAGUUUGAUCAUGGCUCAGAUUGAACGCUGGCGGCAUGCCUAACACAUGCAAGUCGAACGGCAGCGCGUUUGGGGUAACCCAAAUGGCGGCGAGUGGCGGACGGGUGAGUAAUAUGUAGGAAUCUGCCUUGAGGAAGGGGAUAACUUGGGGAAACUCAAGCUAAUACCAUAUAAGACCUAAGGGUGAAAGCAGGGGAUCGUAAGACCUUGCGCCUUAAGAUGAGCCUACAUUGGAUUAGCUAGUUGGGGGGGUAAAGCCCACAAGGCGACGAUCCAUAGCUGGUCUGAGAGAAUGACCAGCCACACUGGGAUUGAGACACGGCCCAGACUCCUACGGGAGGCAGCAGUGGGGAAUAUUGGACAAUGGGGGAAACCCUGAUCCAGCAAUGCCGCGUGUGUGAAGAAGGCCUCGGUUG